UUAAUUACAAAAGAUGCCACCGCUGGCUCUCUCUCCCUCCCUAACCUCCUUGACCGCGACUCCUUGAGACCUUCCUCGACUUCUCCGACUCGCCGCCCUUCACCAUCGAUCUCUCCUUCGAGUGGAUCCUCGACUCCCGUAACUUCGACACCGAUCAGAUCAAGCUCAUUGAUCGCGCCCUGCAGUUGAGAUCAGUGCUCCUCGAGGCCGGUAAGAUCUCGGCGAGACGACGAGCCUCCAAGCACAACUCCAUCUCCUAGGCUCUCCCUCUCGACCUCACCAUCAAGGUAAGCCCAGGUUUUAUUGUUGAAGUAAAAUUUGAACUGUAAUUGUUGCCGGAAACUGGUUUGAUCGUGUUAGUUUUUGGGCAUUCCGAUUCUUUCGUUUCGAAGCUGUACUUUGCCGUUUUCAGUAGCAAAGCAAACUUGCACGACUAAUUUUCAUGCUAAUAGAGAUGCAAAAACCAAGACAAAGGCAACGAACACCACAAGUGUUAAGUUGUGGCUAAAAAACUGAAGGAGGCAGAAAUUACUGAGCAAGACUCGCUUCUGGUUCCACUUUCCUCUUCUAGUUGACCUCUCCUCCUCCUCCGGCAGCGAUGACCUCAAGAACUGGGAUGCCGACUUCGUCAAGUUUAAACAGUAGAGGAGUUUAUGAGCGCAAUGGACGAGCAAGGAGGGCAAAAGAGUUAGUAGCAAACAAGAACAACAUGAGAUACAGACUCCAAUCAUAUAAUCAAGGAUCGUUGAAAUGGAAAUUGGGGACUUUUUAUCAUUCAUUGUUUCAUUGAAAUUUAUUAUAAAAAAUAUUAAGAUUCAAACACGUGUAAUUAUAGAGUAUCUCCUCCUUUCCAAUUCAUAAUCCAAACACCAGAUUGGUGCCUUAGUUCUU